CUACGGGCGGCUCCAGUGAGGAAUAUUGGUCAAUGGCCGAGAGGCUGAACCAGCCAUCCCGCGUGCAGGAUGACGGCCCUAUGGGUUGUAAACUGCUUUUCUACGCCAAGAAAUCUGAUUACGAGUAAUUAGUUGAUGGUAGCGUAGGAAUAAGCAUCGGCUAACUCCGUGCCAGCAGCCGCGGUAAUACGGAGGAUGCAAGCGUUAUCCGGAUUCAUUGGGUUUAAAGGGUGCGCAGGCGGGCUUGUAAGUCAGUGGUGAAAUACUGUCGCUUAACGGUAGAACUGCCAUUGAUACUGCAAGUCUUGAAUAUGGUUGAGGUAGGCGGAAUGUGUUGUGUAGCGGUGAAAUGCAUAGAUAUGACACAGAACGCCGAUUGCGGAGGCAGCUUACUAAGCCAUUAUUGACGCUGAGGCACGAAAGCGUGGGGAGCGAACAGGAUUAGAUACCCCGGUAGUC
rnacentral:rRNA from 1 species